rnacentral:rRNA from 1 species
AUUGAACGCUGGCGGCAGGCCUAACACAUGCAAGUCGAACGAGUGGCGGCCGGGUGAGUAAUGUCUGGGACACUGCCUGAUGGAGGGGGAUAACUACUGGAAACGGUAGCUAAUACCGCAUACCAUCGGAUGUUCCCAGAUGUGAUUAGCUAGUGGGUGGGGUAACGGCUCACCUAGGCGACGAUCCCUAGCUGGUCUGAGAGGAUGACCAGCCAAACUGGAACUGAGACACGGUCCAGACUCCUACGGGAGGCAGCAGUGGGGAAUAUUGCACAAUGGGCGCAAGCCUGAUGCAGCCAUGCCGCGUGUAUGAAGAAGGCCUUCGGGUUGUAAAGUACUUUCAGCGGGGAGGCGUGAGACGAAGAAGAAGCACCGGCUAACUCCGUGCCAGCAGCCGCGGGAAUAG